rnacentral:lncRNA from 1 species
GGAAUAUUAUACCACUUGCUGAAGCUUAAAACAACUCCCAGAUCCUCACUGAAAAUGAGCUUCAUGAUGAAAAGACUUGUAGCCUGUUGGGCCAAGAGAUGGGGAUUAUAAGAAUAUUCAUGAUUCCUGAGAAUCAGCAGCACAACCCCAUUCUACUAACUUGUCAUUCUCCUGUCCGUGGAUCGCAGCAGCAGGUCUACAUUGAGGAGUCCAGACUAAGCUCCAAGAGCUUGAAAGUGGAGAAAAAUACUUGGCAGGAAAUUAAAGAAAAGAAAAAAAAAUUAUUACAGUUAACGCUGGUCUAUCUGGUGGUAAAGACCAGAAUGUGCCCCUGUGAUCAUUUGCACCAAGCUUCCAACUUCUGUCCGGGCUAA